CUCGAAUGCUUGUAGGUCUUUCGUUGGAUAUGUGUUCUAAUCUGGAAGGUCUAAUAAGGCCCUUUACGAGUAUCGGUGUCGCUGCAUGCCGUACACCUCGGGAGUCGAGCUGGCUUGAGAUCGCAGCUCCAAGUGGGUGGUAUACCCCAUCUACGGCUUUAUAGGGGUUACGAGACCGAUAGCAACCAAGUACCCCGAGGGAAAGUUGAAAAGAACUUUGAAGAGAGAGUUAAACAGGACGUGAAACCACUAGGGACGAAGCGGAUGAAGCCGACGAAACUCAGCGGUAUUCAGGUGUGCGCGGCCGUGCGGCGGUGCUUGCUCGCGGCCGGUGUUGUCGUGGCGGAGUCGUUGUGCGCGGUUGUGUGCUCUGCAAUUGCUGCGGGUAUGCGUUGAGAGGCCUGCGCGCCUCCUCCUAACCGUUGUGUGUUGCCCUUGCUUGCAAGGUGUCUUGCGCGGCGGGGCUGUCGAUGGCGCGUAGGUUGUUGCCUUCAGCGGCUGACGAUUGCGCGGUGCGCGUCGCGGCAUGCGUUGUGCGUGAGCAGUGGCGUGCCACUCGUUUGCGUCUUCAGCGUGCGUUGUGUGCGCGCGUCGCUACAGCUCGCUGUCUCGGCGUUAAAGUUGGUCACUCAUCCGACCCGUCUUGAAACACGGACCAAGAAGUCUAGCAUGUGCGCGAGUCAUUGGGCGUAAAAACCUAAAGGCGAAAUGAAAGUAAAGGCCGCCUUGGUGCGGCUGAUAUGGGAGUCGUGUUCGUGCGCGUUCGCGAUGCACCAUAGCCCCAUCCCGUGAGCUUGCUCUGGGGUGGAGGAAGAGCGUACAUGCUGGGACCCGAAAGAUGGUGAACUAUGCCUGAGCAGGAUGAAGUCAGAGGAAACUCUGAUGGAAGUCCGAAGCGGUUCUGACGUGCAAAUCGAUCGUCUGACUUGGGUAUAGGGGCGAAAGACUA
rnacentral:rRNA from 1 species